CGUUAAGAAGCUAAAUUAGAAACAGCAUUAGCCUUUUAAGCUAAAGAUUGGUGCCUCGCAACCACCCUUAAUGC
rnacentral:tRNA from 1 species